rnacentral:rRNA from 1 species
AGAACGAACGCUGGCAGCAGGCCUAAUACAUGCAAGUCGAACGCACUCUUCGGAGUGAGUGGCAGACGGGUGAGUAACGCGUGGAAACCUUCCCAAUAGUACGGAAUAACUCCGGGAAACCGGUGCUAAUACCGUAUAAGCCCUUCGGGGGAAAGAUUUAUCGCUAUUGGAUGGGUCCGCGUCGGAUUAGCUUGUUGGUAGGGUAAUGGCCUACCAAGGCGACGAUCCGUAGCU